AGAGAACGAGCCCAGCAUGACACCAGCAACUCUGCUGAAGAUCAAAUUCAAUACGCCUCCGUGAAUUGGUUGAGAAGCUCCAGGCAUCCACCACCCCAGAGAGAAGAGACAUUGACAUACGCGAUCAUCGCUCUGCAGCGGGAGACAUGUCAUUAAUGCUCCACUGGCUGAAAUGCAGGACUCAUCGUUGUGCAGCUGCAUCACAGAACCUCCCAAAAUCACAGGCAACUGUAACCCAGGCUUUGCAGCAAGGAAGUGGGGAACCUUCUCUGGGGCCACAGCAGGACAAUGCACAGCACCCCAAAGUGCUGUAGGACACUGGGAUAUUCUUAGGGCAAAUGCAGCCUGUUUGCCUUUUGGAAAAAAGUCACUGGCUGCUGCCGGCACCAGGUCCCUCACUAACCUCCCAGGCUGCCCUGGACCCCACAUCCCCCUGAAGUAUGGGGCCCCCCAAAGCCCAAACAUAGGUGGAGCCAGGCCCACAUUCCUAACUAUUGAUGGCACACAGGUACCAUGGGCCCAUGUAACUCACCGUCUAUGAAGGGAAAAAAACUAUAUUUUACAGUGCUUUUCAGAAAUCUAUUGUGACAUUCUGUUCAUUGGGGGAGCACCCAGUAACCCCCCACAUUCCUUAUCUGCAUAUAAUCGCGAUCUCACAUAUAAAGCAUACCUUGUAAGGUAUCAGGGGUAUCAGGUUAUGAUCUGCUGAAAGUCAUUUCUCUCUCCAUAUAUGUAUAUCUUUAAUGCAUGCGAAGUUAUGAGGAUUGUGUUGUAUGUGGUCACUAAAGCAUGCUGUAAGUUGGGGAAUCAACCAGAUAUUAGCUCCCCAGAGGCAACAGCAAGGAAAGUAACCAAUGCCCAGGCAAGGUGUGAAACAACCCAUCAACAGCCGUUGUCCAGCAAGGAAACUACAAUGCAAUGACUCACCUGCAUGAGGCCACACCAGGGGGGUUGCUCAGAUUUGCCUGGAGACUCAGCAAUGCCCCCCAGACAUUCCUGGACAUGUGUUCUACAAGCACAUGGACUGAGGGUAUAAAACUGAACACAGCAGGCUCAGGCUUGGCUUUUCUCCUUCACUCACCUACACUGCAAGUGUAACACAGAAACCGCGGUCAUUGGCUGGAAGGAUCAACCCGGGGACCUUUGGAGCUUAAUGCAUGCGCCUCUAACUGCCUGUUGAGCAGACUCAUUUAAUUCUCUCUAAGUGAUCUCUGUGCCACUAGACGGGACAGAACACCACACCCAGAAGGUGUGUGGGUUACACAAGCUACAAGGUCGCUGGAGACUUGAGACUCCAACUGAGGGGACAGGCCCUGAUUUCAAAGGUGAAAUCUGUGGACUGCAAUAUCUAGUGGGGGUGAGAAAAACUGCUUAAUCUGGUUGCUGCCCAGUCUAACAGGGUUGAGAGUUUAGACAGUGGGCUUAUAUUUUAUUUCUUUUGGUAACUCACUCUGACUU